GGGUGCGAUCAUACCAGCACUAAUGUACUGGAUCCCAUCAGAACUCCGAAGUUAAACGUGCUUUGGCGAGAGUAGUAAUAAGAUCGCUGGCUAGUCUGUGGGAAGUCCUCGUGUUGCACCCC
rnacentral:rRNA from 1 species